UACGGAGGGUGCAAGCGUUAUCCGGAUUCACUGGGUUUAAAGGGUGCGUAGGCGGGCAGGUAAGUCAGUGGUGAAAUCUCCGGGCUUAACCCGGAAACUGCCGUUGAUACUAUUUGUCUUGAAUAUUGUGGAGGUAAGCGGAAUAUGUCAUGUAGCGGUGAAAUGCUUAGAUAUGACAUAGAACACCAAUUGCGAAGGCAGCUUACUACACAAUGAUUGACACUGAGGCACGAAAGCGUGGGGAUCAAACAGG
rnacentral:rRNA from 1 species